rnacentral:lncRNA from 1 species
UUUGGGCCAGCAGGGGAAAUGGGCUGAUGUGCUGCCUCCUGGCAGUCCUCAUAUGUGCCACAAACCCAACUCAGCAGGACCCCAGCUGCUGCUAUUAUUCAUUCCCUCUUCUCUGGGGGCUCCUCCAAAGCACACUGUCCUUUGGGGAAACAUCAUCACAGCCAGAUUCUCUUCAGAAAGCACAGGGCAAAUAGAAGAAAAGAAAAAAUUCUAAGAAAUUUAAAAUUCAAAACAGAAGGCUAUUAAUUGGUUUUAUGCUAACCUUUAUAGCCUUAAUCUUCGAAUUUUCUCCCUCCUUUAAGAACAAUCACUUCUGGGCUGAUUUCUUCAAAUGAGAUAUGAUUUCCUCCGAGCCAUUACUGUGAUCUCCAUCAAAGACAGCAAAGAAAGUAAUUAGUACUCCACACCAAACCAACCUCAAAUUUGACAGAAACUGCAUUUGUCCUUUGCAAAGCGGAAAAUGAAGCACCUUCUAAUUCUUAGAAUUUUCUCAUGAGUUGUUGUCACUGGGCAGAAAUUUCUGGAGUUGUUGCUUCUUAUAGACUUUCUC